AGAAAGUAGGCUAUAUGUGUGGCUGCAGCAUCAAUAUUUAAAAAAUGCUUCUGAUGUUGGUCUGGGAAACUGUUUUCAAGGUCAUGCAAAGUGUAAAUGCAAUCCACUCUCCACAUGAUUACACUGGCCUUGUAACCUGUUACAAAAUCAGCUACAGUACCUUCCAGGCAUAAUGGCUACCGGUUGCGCUUUUUUAACAAACCAAACUUUUAAAAUGUCCAGGCUAACUCCAAAAUAUUUUACUUUGAUUUGUAAAUUAACAACAAAAC
rnacentral:lncRNA from 1 species